UACGACGGGGGCUAGCGUUGCUCGGAAUGACUGGGCGUAAAGGGCGCGUAGGCGGACGGCUUUGUCGGGCGUGAAAUUCCAGGGCUUAACCUUGGGGCUGCGUUCGAGACGGGUUGUCUAGAGUUUGGAAGAGGGUCGUGGAAUUCCCAGUGUAGAGGUGAAAUUCGUAGAUAUUGGGAAGAACACCGGUGGCGAAGGCGGCGACCUGGUCCUUGACUGACGCUGAGACACGAAAGCGUGGGUAGCAAACAGG
rnacentral:rRNA from 1 species